UACGUAGGGUGCGAGCGUUGUCCGGAAUUACUGGGCGUAAAGAGCUCGUAGGUGGUUUGUCGCGUUGUCCGUGAAAACUCACAGCUCAACUGUGGGCGUGCGGGCGAUACGGGCAGACUGGAGUACUGCAGGGGAGACUGGAAUUCCUGGUGUAGCGGUGGAAUGCGCAGAUAUCAGGAGGAACACCGGUGGCGAAGGCGGUUCUCUGGGCAUGACCUGACGCUCGAGGCACGAAAGCGUGGGGAGCAAACAGG
rnacentral:rRNA from 1 species